GGGCCUAUAGCUCAGCCUGAUUAGAGCGCAUCCCUGAUAAGGAUGAGGUCGCUAGUUCAAAUCUAGCUAGGCCCA
rnacentral:tRNA from 1 species